rnacentral:rRNA from 1 species
ACUAACAGGAUUCCCCUAGUAACUGCGAGUGAAGCGGGAAAAGCUCAAAUUUAAAAUCUGGCGGUCUCUGGCCGUCCGAGUUGUAAUCUAGAGAAGUAAUGCCCGUGCUGGACCGUGUAUAAGUCUCCUGGGAUGGGGCGUCAUAGAGGGUGAGAAUCCCGUCUUUGACACGGACUACCAGUGCAUUGUGGUAUGCUCUCAAAGAGUCGAGUUGUUUGGGAAUGCAGCUCAAAAUGGGUGGUAAAUUCCAUCUAAAGCUAAAUAUUGGCGAGAGACCGAUAGCGAACAAGUACCGUGAGGGAAAGAUGAAAAGAACUUUGGAAAGAGAGUUAAACAGUACGUGAAAUUGCUGAAAGGGAAACGCUUGAAGUCAGUCGUGUUGGCCAGGAUUCAGCCUUGCUUUUGCAUGGUGCACUUUCUGGUUGACGGGUCAACAUCAAUUUUGACCGCUGGAAAAGGGCCUGGGGAAUGUGGCAGCUUCGGCUGUGUUAUAGCCCCUAGUCACAUACGGCGGUUGGGAUUGAGGAACUCAGCACGCCGCAAGGCCGGGUUUCGACCACGUUCGUGCUUAGGAUGUUGGCAUAAUGGCUUUAAGCGACCCGUCUUGAAACACGGACCAAGGAGUCUAACAUGCCUGCGAGUAUUUGGGUGGAAAACCCGAGUGCAYAAUGAAAGUGAAAGUUGAGAUCCCUGUCGUGGGGAGCAUCGACGCCCGGACCAGAACUUUUGGGACGGAUCCGCGGUGGAGCAUGCAUGUUGGGACCCGAAAGAUGGUGAACUAUGCCUGAAUAGGGUGAAGCCAGAGGAAACUCUGGUGGAGGCUCGUAGCGAUUCUGACGUGCAAAUCGAUCGUCAAAUUUGGGUAUAGGGGCGAAAGACUAAUCG